rfam:Chloroflexi bacterium RBG_13_51_52 RBG_13_scaffold_10728, whole genome shotgun sequence.
GACAACUAAAUAAUUAGUCCCGAGACAGCGGGUGUCCUUCAACAGAAGGACUUAAUAAAUGCCCGCCGAGGAUAUAAAGUACAGAUAUACUAAGUCCUCGUGUGUUCGGCAUGAGGGCUUUUUGUUUACAUAA